rnacentral:pre_miRNA from 1 species
ACAUGGAUCACAGGGAUCUUGUUAAAAGGCAGAAUAUGAUUUAAUAGGUCGGGGAUAGGGCCUGAGAUUCUGAACUUUUAACAAGCUCCCGGGUGAUGCCACU